rnacentral:rRNA from 1 species
UGGGGAAUUUUGCACAAUGGGGGAAACCCUGAUGCAGCGACGCCGCGUGAUUUAGAAGGCCUUCGGGUUGUAAAAAUCUUUUCUCUGGGAAGAAAAUGACAGUACCAUAGGAAUAAGGACCGGCUAAUUACGUGCCAGCAGCCGCGGUAAUACGUAAGGUCCGAGCGUUGUCCGGAAUCAUUGGGCGUAAAGGGUACGUAGGCGGGUAAGCAAGUUAGAAGUGAAAUCCUAUAGCUAAGCUAGAGUAAGCUUUUAAAACUGAUCAUCUUGAGGUAUGGAAGGGAAAGUGGAAUUCCUAGUGGAGCGGUGAAAUGCGCAGAUAUUAGGAGGAAUACCGGUGGCGAAGGCGAGUAUCUGGGCAUAACCUGACGCUGAGGUACGAAAGCGUGGGUAGCAAACAGG